AUCGCAGGUCCUGCAGCCCCAGGAGGUGAGAUCUGCAGCAGGGGUGGCCGGCUGACCUUAUAUCACAAUUAGGAUGGAGAAGGACAGAGACCACAUGGCUGUAAGGAUAUUAGACCUCACACUGGAGAUCAUCUACUUGGUAACUGGUGAGGAUUACACAGUAGUGAAGAAGUCGUGUGGUGAGUGUGUGACACCCCGUGUGU